ensembl:lncRNA
GAGGCAGAUGAACUCCGCCUCGGCGAGGCGGCGGGCCGACCUGGAGGACGCCAGCCUCCCGCUGGAGCAGCAGCACCAGGAGCUGAUGGAGCAGAUCCAGAAGCUGUACAACAGGAGCAAGACGGUGUACUGGACGUCCCACAAGCUGCAGGUACCUGAUCCUGGGACAGCUUUUCUUAUUACGUACUGAAAACCCUCGUUCAGAGCACAGCGGACGAGGUCAUGGGUCAAUAGAUCAGGUUCUGUUCAGUAGAUGAUCAGUGAUGAGGAACGUCUGAUUAGUGAGGAGAGAAAAAGUCAUAGAUGUCCUCAGGUGUGUUCUCUGUGGACAGAUUGCUCUGCUGCUUCAAGAGGACAUCCAGGACCCACCGCUGCUGGAGCUGCAGAAGGAACGUCAGCAGCUGAUCAGGAUGAAGGGCGAAGCCGAGAAGGAGGCAAAGAAGCUUCAGGACACCGCCACCCUCCUGCACCACCAGCUGAUCGCCAGCGAGACAGGAAACCAGGCGCUGGAGCAGGACCUGAGGGACGCCACCCAGAAGGUGGCCGCGAGGACCCUGGUGCUCCAGGACCAGCUGACUCGGGGCCGCGGGGCGGCGAGGAGGCGUCUGACUCUGCUCACCGUCCGGAGCGCCGCCGCCGCCAAGAAGCUGAAGGCCGUCGUCGCCAAGGGCGAGAAGGUCCUCCGGGUGGCCGAGGUGGGCCGCAGGCUGGAGGGGGACCAGGGGGACUUACUGACGUGCCCUCUGGCGGAGCAGAGACAGGAGACAGGAGCGGAGACAGAGGGACCAGAAGAGGAGACGGCGGUGACGCUGAGGACCACCGUGUCUGUCCUGAAGCUGGGGGCCCUGAGGACACAGCGGGACGCUCUGACCCGGGACAACCUGCAGCUGAAGCUGCUGCUGCAGGAGUGCCUGGACGCCAUGACGGUGAGCGACCGGGACCCCGGAGGCCACGCCCUGCUUGCUGUGGGCGGGGCCCCGACCACCGCCGUCCCCCCGGAGGCCGGCAGGCGCCUCGCCGACCGCCGCCACACAGUCAUCGAGGGCGCGCACGUCGCCAGGCGUUAUUAACACUUUGGCUCCGUUUGAUGAGCGGUUAA